rnacentral:rRNA from 1 species
GAUGAACGCUGGCGGCGUGCCUAAUACAUGCAAGUCGAGCGAACGGACGAGAAGCUUGCUUCUCUGAUGUUAGCGGCGGACGGGUGAGUAACACGUGGAUAACCUACCUAUAAGACUGGGAUAACUUCGGGAAACCGUAGCUAAUACCGGAUAAUAUUUUGAACCGCAUGGUUCAAAAGUGAAAGACGGUCUUGCUGUCACUUAUAGAUGGAUCCGCGCUGCAUUAGCUAGUUGGUAAGGUAACGGCUUACCAAGGCAACGACGCAUAGCCGACCUGAGAGGCUGAUCGGCCACACUGGAACUGAGACACGGUCCAGACUCCUACGGUAGGCAGCAGUAGGGAAUCUUCCGCAAUGGGCGAAAGCCUGACGGAGCAACGCCGCGUGAGUGAUGAAGGUCUUCGGAUCGUAAAACUCUGUUAUUAGGGAAGAACAUAUGUGUAAGUAACUGUGCACAUCUUGACGGUACCUAAUCAGAAAGCCACGGCUAACUACGUG